CAAGCGGAGUAUUCUCGAGAAGAAAUUGAUGAGGUGCGAUCGGAGUUGGCAGAAUGUAUACAAGAUUAUAUUUAUGAGUAGAUACACAGUGGUAGGUGUUUUGUCCCAGUCUCAAGCCGUCAAUCCAUUUUGAUCAAUAUAUCUAGUAGAAGUAAACAUGCAGAUCAUUGUCUUCGAGGCCGGCUAGCUAUUUUGUGCUUUUUUUGUUUUAAACUUGAAUGUCAGUAACUACUUUGAAACAGAAAUAUUUAGUCUUUGUGUAUAGUUGAAUUCUCCUGUAAAUACUAAUACUUUGUAGUUGAAUUCUAUUGUUUGGUACGAGUUUGAAAUCAUUAGCUGAGCUAAUUAAUGCUAUUUUAUAUGU